UACGUAGGGGGCAAGCGUUGUCCGGAUUUAUUGGGCGUAAAGAGCUCGUAGGCGGCUUGUUGCGUCGACUGUGAAAGCCCGUGGCUUAACCGCGUGGUCUGCAGUCGAUACGGGCAGGCUAGAGUUCGGUAGGGGAGACUGGAAUUCCUGGUGUAGCGGUGAAAUGCGCAGAUAUCAGGAGGAACACCGGUGGCGAAGGCGGGUCUCUGGGCCGAUACUGACGCUGAGGAGCGAAAGCGUGGGGAGCAAACAGG
rnacentral:rRNA from 1 species